CGAAAAUCACGCUUUUUCUCUUCGAGAAUCCCCCAUUUUAGCAAAAAUCACGCGUUUCCUCUUCGCAAAUCCCCCAUUUAAGCGAAAAUCACGUGUUUCUCUUCGAAAUCCCCAUUUAAGCCAAAAUCACGCGUUUUCUCUUUGAGAAUCCCCCAUUUAACCCGAAAAUCACGCGUUUUCUCUUUGCAAAUCCCCCAUUUAAGCGAAAAUCACCCGUUUUCUCUUCGAGAAUCCCCCAUUUAACCCGAAAAUCACGCGUUUUCUCUUCGCAAAUCCCCCAUUUAAUCCGAAAAUACGCCGUUUUCUCUUCGAGAAUCCCCCAUUUAAGCGAAAAUCACGCGUUUUCUCUUCGAAAUCCCCCAUUU
ensembl:lncRNA